ACUCAGUGACAAGAAGACAGGAGUAGCUCCCUCGGGAAUCUGGACGGUUCCAGAACUAAUAGACAAUACUUGUCAGAGUGAAAUGGUGAAAUGCUGGCGGGCAACCCUGGGGACUCUACCUGAGUCUGCCUUCCCAGGGCUCUGAGGACAGCGCCUUUAUGGACACUCGGUCCUUGCUUGGCUCGCCCUGCUGAGACUAAGUCUUCAUGGUUGGUCUCCGCGUAUCAUCGCGCAAUCACGGUGGGGAGACUGAGCAGAGGAUGAAGUGUGCUGCCCGGGUCUCAUGUGGGACACCAUCUGGGUGUCUGCUGCCUCCUCCGCGCUCUCCUAGAACCUGGUCCACACACACCAUGACUUCCUGAUGCCCAAGAGCGGAGGUUCAUCACCGGGACCCACCGAAGCUUAGCAGGGGAUAUCAUUUAGAAUGGUGGUUUCAUGUCCUCGGCUCUGAAAAAAAGGUGAAUGGAGGUUGGCAACUGCCUGUCAAGGGUGGGUUCCCCCACAGAGAGAAUGGGAUGGCCCAGCCUCGCCUGCAUGUGCCCAAGAAUCUGUGGGACUUGGUGAAGAGUGCUGUCAUCACUUGCGCCACUCGGAGCAGUGACAACAGAAUACAGGCUCCUCGUAACUGAAGACCCCAGCUAGCAGUGACAACAGAACACAGGCUCCUCGUAACUGAAGACCCCGGCUAGCAGUGACAACAGAACACAGGCUCCUCAUAACUGAAGACCCCGGCUAGCAGUGACAACAGAACACAGGCUCCUCGUAACUGAAGACCCCGGCUAGCAGUGACAACAGAACACAGGCUCCUCGUAACUGAAGACCCCGGCUCGCAGACAACUCAUUUCACACUCUCAAGAACUCCACCAGACAGCCAGGCGGUGGUGGCGCACGCAGGAGGCGUGAGUUCUGUGAGUUCAAGGCCAGCCUGGUCUACAGAGUGAGUUCCAGGACAGGCUCCAAAGCUACAGAGAAAAAAGAAAGAAAAGAAAAAGAACUCCACCAGAGAAGCCUACGGGUUGACUCUACAGAACAGGACAGAGGCUUAGGAUAGGAUGUGAAUUCACUGUCACAGGAAGACGCCGCAUAUCUUCUGCCUGCGAAUGGCGUGCACAGGAUAAGUGGCUAUGAAGUCUGAAAACCAGCAGGGGCUUCCCUAGGUGCUCUGGGAAGGCCGUCCUCCCCAGGGCGGGUGGAAAGCAAAUGGGAGGGUCUCUGCCCACUUUGUGCUGUAAAUCCGCAGGGCCGGACCUGUGCCUGGCACAUGGUAGACAGUUAAUAAUCGCAGCAAGCGUGAGGCUGGACAAAGGCUGCUGACCGCAAUGGGGAUACUGUUAGUUGGCUGUCACGGCACUAAGCUUCUAGAAAGGCUGAAACUGAGCUAUGGUCACAAAGUGCAGUCCUAACCAUCCUUGCGAGUACUUGCUGUGUGCAGAAGCUCAUCUCAUCCCCACAGCAGCCCACAAGAGCUGCCCAACCCACAUCUCCUCUCUCGUCUCUACUUGACUCUAAUGAGGUACAGUGAAGUCAAGGAAUUUUCUUGUCCCUCAGCUAUAUUGUUGGCAGAACAAGGACUCUAGCUCUGGUAACAGGAUGUCAGGCCUCCCUUCUAAGCACCCUAUCCCAAGCCCUGUCCUGGAGGGUCCAGGAGUUUAGGGAAAAUCUGUAGAUCUAGAACCAGUUAUUCUGAGGAACGCAGAAAAUGAAACUCCCACCGUGAAUCUUCUUUUCAACACGGGCAGCUAGGACACAGGAAGAGAGAGACACUGACUCGGCCUGUGGCCCCAUCAAAGGUAAAACCUUUGCUCACCCGGAGUUUCUGACUCCUGGGGUCUGGCUUGUUCUCUGGGAACCUCAGAUGUAGCUAGAAGAUAGGCUACACAGAAUUUGGGGACAGAAGCAGUCAGACCAGGCUGUUCUGGUCCCUUCCCAACCCCUCCCAUCGCCCCUGACCCCUGUGCGCCCCCCCAAGCCCGCCAUGCCCACACUGACUCGGCUUCCUGACUUCCUUUGCCUCAUGCAACCAAAAGACCCCAGUCCAUGGCCUUCUUCCUGCUUCCCACAUCAAGACCAGAGGAAGAUUCUGAAGGCAGAUGUGAGACUGUCCUGGACAUCCCUCAGGAUCCAAGGUCGUUACAAAGUGCAUGAUGGGUCCAGAUGCAGUUGAUGGAUGAGGAAAGAGAGGGCAGAGGAGGACAGGAAGAUGCUGGCCUGCCUCCUAUGAAGUUGGGGGACGGGCUGGAGUGAUGGUUCAGAGGUUAAGAACACUGACUGCUCUUCCAGAGGUUCUGAGUUCAAUUCCCAGCUACCACAUGGUGGCUCACAACCAUCUAUAAUGAGAUCUGGUACCCUCUUCUGGCCUAUAAAGUUGGGGGACACCCACCCGAAAGCUGA